UACGAAGGGGGCUAGCGUUGUUCGGAAUUACUGGGCGUAAAGCGCACGUAGGCGGAUACUUAAGUCAGGGGUGAAAUCCCGGGGCUCAACCCCGGAACUGCCUUUGAUACUGGGUAUCUCGAGUCCGGAAGAGGUGAGUGGAAUUCCGAGUGUAGAGGUGAAAUUCGUAGAUAUUCGGAAGAACACCAGUGGCGAAGGCGGCUCACUGGACUGGUAUUGACGCUGAGGCGCGAAAGCAUGGGGAGCGAACAGG
rnacentral:rRNA from 1 species